rnacentral:rRNA from 1 species
CCUACGGGAGGCAGCAGCAGGGAAUAUUGCGCAAUGGGCGAAAGCCUGACGCAGCGACGCCGCGUGGGUGAAGAAGGCCUUCGGGUUGUAAAACCCUUUUCCGGAGGAAGAGAGAGGACGGUACUCCAGGAAUAAGCGUCGGCUAACUACGUGCCAGCAGCCGCGGUAACACGUAGGACGCGAGCGUUAUCCGGAUUCACUGGGCGUAAAGCGCUUGCAGGCGGUCUGAUAAGUUGGACGUGAAAGCCCUGGGCUUAACUCGGGGAGGCCGUUCAAUACUGUCAGGCUAGAGGGAGGCAGAGGAGAGUGAAAUUCCCGGUGUAGCGGUAAAAUGCAUAGAUAUCGGGAGGAACACCGGUGGUGAAGGCGGCCCCCUGGUCCACACCUGACGCUGAGGUGCGAAAGCGUGGGGAGCAAACAGGAUUAGAUACCCUUGUAGU